rnacentral:rRNA from 1 species
UACGGGGGGGGCAAGCGUUGUUCGGAAUUACUGGGCGUAAAGGGCUCGUAGGCGGCCAACUAAGUCAGACGUGAAAUCCCUCGGCUUAACCGGGGAACUGCAUCUGAUACUGGAUGGCUUGAGUUCGGGAGAGGGAUGCGGAAUUCCAGGUGUAGCGGUGAAAUGCGUAGAUAUCUGGAGGAACACCGGUGGCGAAGGCGGCAUCCUGGACCGGCACUGACGCUGAGGAGCGAAAGCGUGGGGAGCAAACAGG